UACAGGGGGGGCAAGCGUUGUUCGGAAUUACUGGGCGUAAAGCGCGUGUAGGCGGAUGAGCAAGUCUGCUGUGAAAGCUCCUGGCUUAACCGGGAGUGGUCGGUGGAAACUGCUCGUCUGGAGGGCGGUAGAGGUAGGUAGAAUUCCCGGUGUAGUGGUGAAAUGCGUAGAGAUCGGGAGGAAUACCUGUGGCGAAGGCGGCCUACUGGGCCGGACCUGACGCUGAGACGCGAAGGCGUGGGGAGCGAACGGG
rnacentral:rRNA from 1 species